AUUGAACGCUGGCGGCAUGCUUUACACAUGCAAGUCGAACGGCAGCGCGGGCUUCGGCCUGGCGGCGAGUGGCGAGCGGGUGAGUAAUACAUCGGAACGUGCCCAGUAGUGGGGGAUAGCUCGGCGAAAGCCGGAUUAAUACCACAUACGACCUGAGGGUGAAAGCGGGGGAUCUUCGGACCUCGCGCUAUUGGAGCGGCCGAUGGCAGAUUAGCUAGUUGGUGGGGUAAAGGCCUACCAAGGCGACGAUCUGUAGCUGGUCUGAGAGGACGACCAGCCACACUGGGACUGAGGCACGGCCCAGACUCCUACGGGAGGCAGCAGUGGGGAAUUUUGGACAAUGGGCGAAAGCCUGAUCCAGCAAUGCCGCGUGUGUGAUGAAGGCCUUCGGGUUGUAAAGCACUUUUGGCGGGAACGAAAAGGACUGUGCCAAUACCACGGUUCGAUGACGGUACCCGCAGAAUAAGCACCGGCUAACUACGUG
rnacentral:rRNA from 1 species